rnacentral:rRNA from 1 species
GGGCGUUAAGUUGCAGGGUAUAGACCCGAAACCCGGUGAUCUAGCCAUGGGCAGGUUGAAGGUUGGGUAACACUAACUGGAGGACCGAACCGACUAAUGUUGAAAAAUUAGCGGAUGACCUGUGGCUGGGGGUGAAAGGCCAAUCAAACCGGGAGAUAGCUGGUUCUCCCCGAAAGCUAUUUAGGUAGCGCCUCGUGAACUCAUCUUCGGGGGUAGAGCACUGUUUCGGCUAGGGGGCCAUCCCGGCUUACCAACCCGAUGCAAACUACGAAUACCGAAGAAUGUUAUCACGGGAGACACACGGCGGGUGCUAACGUCCGUCGUGAAGAGGGAAACAACCCAGACCGCCAGCUAAGGUCCCAAAGUCAUGGUUAAGUGGGAAACGAUGUGGGAAGGCCCAGACAGCCAGGAUGUUGGCUUAGAAGCAGCCAUCAUUUAAAGAAAGCGUAAUAGCUCACUGGUCGAGUCGGCCUGCGCGGAAGAUGUAACGGGGCUAAACCAUGCACCGAAGCUGCGGCAGCGACACUAUGUGUUGUUGG